GUGCUUGCUUUGGCAGCACAUAUAUUAAAAUUGGAACUAUACAGAGAAGAUUAGCAUGGGCCCCUGUGCCAGGAUGACAUGUAAAUACCACAUACAAAUGAUAUCAUU